rnacentral:lncRNA from 1 species
CAAGGAUGGCAUCCUAUUUGUGCGUUUCCCUGAUGGAAGGCCGACAGGCGACGCCUUUGUCCUAUUCGCCAGUGAGGAGAAUGCUCAGUGCGCUCUCAGGAAGCACAAAGACAUCCUGGGAAAGAGAUACAUUGAGCUGUUCAAGAGCACCGCCGCUGAGGUGCAACAGGUAUGAAGAGAGGGAGGGUUUGUCUGUCUGUUAAGGUUCGACAGGUAUGUCUGUGUGUUGGAGGAGGGGUGUGCGUCUGUCUGUUGAGGUGGAGCGUGUGUGUCUGUGUUUUGGGGAAGGGUGUGUUUGUCUGUCUGCUAAGGUGCAACAGGUAGAAAGAGAGAGGGAGGGAGUGAGCGUGCAUGUGUGUGUGUGUGUUGGUGUGUGUGUGUUGGUGUGUGUCUGUUGGUGUGUGUGUGUGUGUGUUGGUGUGUGUUGGUGUGUGUGUGUUGGUGUGUGUUGGUGUGUGUGUGUUGGUGUGUGUGUGUGUGUUGGUGUGUGUGUGUAUUGGUGUGUGUGUGUGUGUUGGUGUGUGUUGGUGUGUGUGUGUUGGUGUGUGUUGGUGUGUGUGUGUUGGUGUGUGUGUGUGUGUUGGUGUGUGUGUGUAUUGGUGUGUGUGUGUGUGUGUGUUGGUGUGUGUGUGUUGGUGUGUGUGUGUAUUGGUGUGUGUGUUUGUGUUGGUGUGUGUGUGUUGGUGUGUGUUGGUGUGUGUGUGUUGAUGUGUGUUGGUGUGUGUGUGUGUGUGUGUGUGUGUGUGUGUGUGUGUGUGUUUGUGUGUGUGUAUUGGUGU